rnacentral:rRNA from 1 species
UACGUAGGGUGCAAGCGUUAAUCGGAAUUACUGGGCGUAAAGCGUGCGCAGGCGGUUUUGUAAGUCUGUCGUGAAAUCCCCGGGCUCAACCUGGGAAUUGCGAUGGAGACUGCAAGGCUAGAAUCUGGCAGAGGGGGGUAGAAUUCCACGUGUAGCAGUGAAAUGCGUAGAGAUGUGGAGGAACACCGAUGGCGAAGGCAGCCCCCUGGGUCAAGA